GGAAUAUUGGACAAUGGGCCCAAGCCUGAUCCAGCAAUGCCGCGUGAGUGAUGAAGGUCUUAGGGUUGUAAAGCUCUUUUGCCAGGGAAGAUGAUGACUGUACCUGGAGAAUAAGCCCCGGCUAACUUCGUUCCAGCAGCCGCGGUAAUCCGAAGGGGGCUAGCGUUGUUCGGAAUUCCUGGGCGUAAAGGGCGCGUAGGCGGCCGGCUAAGUUAGAUGUGAAAGUCCUGGGCUCAACCUGGGGACUGCAUUUAAUACUGGUUGGCUUGAAUUCGGGAGAGGAUAGCGGAAUUCCCAGUGUAGAGGUGAAAUUCGUAGAUAUUGGGAAGAACACCGGUGGCGAAGGCGGCUAUCUGGACCGACAUUGACGCUGAGGCGCGGAAGCGUGGGGAGCAAA
rnacentral:rRNA from 1 species